GGUGGGUGGUGGUGCAUGGCCGUUCUUAGUUGGUGGAGCGAUUUGUCUGGUUAAUUCCGAUAACGAACGAGACUCUGGCCUGCUAAAUAGUCCUCCCCCCCGCCAAUGGGAGGGGAGCCGUCGUACUUCUUAAAGGGACUAGCGGCGUUACAGCCGCACGAAAUUGAGCAAUAACAGGUCUGUGAUGCCCUUAGAUGUUCGGGGCCGCACGCCCGCUACACUGAAAGAGGCAGAGGGUCGAGUCCUGGUCUGGCGAGGCUGGGCAACCCGCGUCCAAACUCUAUCGUGCUAGGGACUGGGGCUUGCAAUUGUUCCCCACCAACGAGGAAUUCCCAGUAAGCGCGAGUCAUCAGCUCGUGUUGAUUACGUCCCUGCCCUUUGUACACACCGCCCGUCGCUACUACCGAUUGAAUGGUUUAAUGAGGCCUUY
rnacentral:rRNA from 1 species